GUGUUCACUUUAGCAGCACAUAUAGUAAAAUUUAAACGAUACAGAGAUUAGCUGGUCUCUGAGCGAGAAUGAAACCCGAAUUUGUAACUCAGUAGUUGUUCUU